rnacentral:misc_RNA from 1 species
GAUUUGGAGCAUGCGAAUGACUAUCGGUAUUGGUUCUUGUAUUGGCAUUGGGUGACUAUUUGCAUGAUAUAGUUGUUUAAGCUAGAAGUUGCCUCCACCAAAAUAGCCUAAGCUAAUUUGGCUUGGCUCCCCUUUACUACAUACUCAUUUCAAUUUCCUGUUAUUUUCUGAUCUGGGACUCCAACAGGGUGUAAUUGAGCUAAUUUGUGUUAAUAAGUUCUAAGCUCGUGCUUGACUCAACUAAAAAACUCAAGGCUUUAAACACAACUUGACUGAACUUUAUUUUUCCAUACUUGAGCUUGGCUUUAUUAGAUAUUCAAGAUACUCUAGCUUGACUCAACUCAACUUGAUUAUCAUUAUAAAUUUAAAUAAAAAUUUAAUUAAUUUCAAAUUAGAACUCGCAACUUGAAUGAGCCCAAGUUUGAGCUCGAUUUGGUAUUUUAUCAUAUGUAUUUAGGGUAAAUGGUAAAUUUUGUAAUUUAUCUUUUGCAUGCAGUGACGGAUCCACCAUAAACAAUGAGGGAUUAAUUGACCCUUCUUU